CAUUGGGUGAUGUCCACCAUGGUUUACCCUCGUGGCGAGGCUCUAGAGUGGAUGAUGCAGGAUGAUAUUGUGCUGAAUAAAACACUAAAGCGGUGAUACAGUGUUUGGAGACACUGCGAGGGGAACAUGCUCAACUCCUUUAACACCAUUCUGGACUGCAGUCAACCAGCCGGAGUGCAGGAGAAGUCCAGACUGCUGUUGGAGGACCUGGAGGACAUUGAGCUGGACCUGGAAGAAGCACAGGUGAAACAGGAAGGUAGGAGAAAUUCAGACUGCUGCUGGAGAACCUGGAGGACAUUGAGCUGGGCCUGGGGGAAGCACAGGUGAUCAUAGGCGUGUUGGGAGAACCAGUUGCUGCGGUAAAAGUUGGACAACACCCAACACAAAUUGUAGAAGAGCAAACAGCAUCACGCAGCUGGAGGAGGAGAAGCACCUGGAGUUUAUGAACCAGAUUGCGCUCAUUUAUCAGGCGGAACAUCAGUUUCUAAACCAUCUGGACGAAACCUUCAUCCGCUCACUGUGUGUCAGUCUUGGGUUGACAUUGCUGAUUCAGAUCAAUGGGUUCAGCUGGAGCCGUCAGUCUGUAGAGAUGGAGGUUCAGAGUUCAAGAUCAGGACUCUGAAGGGUCAAUUCUAGAGCAGCAGGACCAGACUCCGAUGAGUCCGAUGGAGAUGUCACUCUCCACUACCGGGCAGUGGAUGGAAAUUUUCUCAACGCAGAGCUGGAGAGGCCGUCAAGCUCCUCAGAUAUAUCUUUCCAAUCUGUAGAGCUCAUGCGUUAUCAUGCCUCUAUAUGUGCUGUCAAGUAAAAUGACAUCCAAGCUCACAUUAUUAGUAGUUAACAGUGAUUAAAGCACAUGAGCUGUGCCUGAGGUGAUCAUUUACAUAGUUUACCCUGUUUUUCAGCUGUAAGAACUAGAAGCGGCUUCUAAAAUAGAAAUUUCAGGUUGGUCAGGACAAAAACUCACGCCUGUUAAUGUGGGGAUGUCGUCAAUCUUGCAACCUAUACCUAGUUAAACCACUGGGUGUCAAACUUGCGUACUGUGUAAAGGUGCUGGUCAUAUAGUUAGAAUAUCUUUAUGAAGUUGAUCUAUUUCACUAAUUCCAUUCAAGAAGUGAGACUUGUAUGUCUGUGGCACUGCUCAGAUGUUACGAGAGCCCAGGUUGUUCUGACAGUGGCCUUUAGCAUUGUUGGGUCUGGCAUUUUGCAUCUUCCUUUUCGCACAGUUUGAAACAUUUAACUUUAGCGUUUAAUUGAUUAAAAUAAAAAUGAGAAAUGUCUUAUUUAUAAUAUCUUCUCUGUUUUAUUUACAUUAUACUGUUUCCAUCACAGACUUUUGAAGAUGUUUGAAGGUAAUCAGGCAAAACCGUAUCACUGUCCCACAUAAGUAAUCAUAAAAAGCAUUUCAAGUAGUUAUCUUGCACAUUGUGAAUGAUUUUCUGCUACUUAACAGGUUGAGUUCAAGUGCAUCAAAUGAGAGCUGAUUUAAAAGGGAGUGGAACAUGUAAUACUAGAGAGUUAAUGUGAAAAGUCGUUAAGCGAUUUCGGUGGAAGUAACAAACUGCUAGCGUUAAAUGUUUCUAUCAGUUCUAUAUCUUAUAAAUGUAAAUUGUCACUCUUUGAAACACUAGCUCAGGGGUUCCCAAACUUUUCAGCCCACGGCCACUAAAAUGCCACUGACUCACGACCCCUACUAUUUUUCAGAGGUGGUUAAAACAUAAAUGUUAAAUGCAAGGGCUCAUGCACACACACACACACACACACACACACACACACCUAUAUGCCUAUAAACGAUCAUAUUCACAACACAAACAAGUGUAAUCUAACAACUAUAUAAUUGUUAAUAGUCAUUUAUUCCAUUUAAUAUGAACCUCACCUAAUGAGACUGUCAGCACAUCGUUUGCAGCACAAGUCUAUUCUUGUUUAAUUUUUGAGACCACCAUUUUGAGAUCAUUCUCCAUCAGGGUUUCCGCAGGGUCUUAAAGUCUAAAUUCUAAAAUUUAAAAAUCGAAAUUUUAGGGCUUAAAAAGUCUUUAUUUUGCUGCUCUAGGUCUUGAAUAUGUCAUGAUUUCAGCUAGUGGAGCACAACAUUUUUAAGACUCGAACGAACCAUUUACGCGGCAUCACGUUUCAUUUAAGAUAAUUAUGAAUCACUUUGAAAAGAUUUUGUCUGAAACAUGUACGACUGUACAUACACCUUUUAUCUAAAACUAGAUCAACAAUAAUUCUUAGCUAGAGAUUGCAACCGCAGUGGGAAAGGAGGAACGUUUUUGUUAAAAAGUUUGGAAAAACCUGAGGGAUACGUUUGUUAAAACAAAAAGAGAUCAUGGCAAAAAUGACCCAGGUACACAAUCACAGAAUGUUUUUCCACCAUUUAUAGGUUUUAAAAUGUAAUAGUUACAAAACUAUAAUUAAGGAACAAAUUAUUUCUUUGAUAACUGGAAAAGAAUAUUUGAAUUUCUCGGUUUACAAUAUUCUAAUGCCCUGUUUUUCUAGGCUUUAUUGAUGAUAAUCGUCAGGAAUGUUUGGAUCAUUAUUGCCUUUUUAGCAUAUCAGUAGACGACAGAAACUAACCAGCGUGAACUGUAGAGAGGGCAAAAUAAAAUAAAGUCAGGAUUUUUUUAGUAAGUACUUUUUU